rnacentral:rRNA from 1 species
UCCUGGCUCAGGAUGAACGCUAGCGGCAGGCCUAACACUUGCAAGUCGAGGGGUAACAGAGGUAGCUUGCUACUUGCUGACGACCGGCGCACGGGUGCGUAACGCGUAUACAAUCUACCCAUUACUAAGGGAUAGCCCAUGGAAACGUGGAUUAAUACCUUAUGGUAUUUAAGGAUCGCCUGGUUUUUAAAUUAAAGGUUACGGUAAUGGAUGAGUAUGCGUCCUAUUAGCUAUUAUGUAGGGUAACGGCCUACAUAGGCGAUGAUAGGUAGGGGUUCUGAGAGGGAGAUCCCCCACACUGGUACUGAGACACGGACCAGACUCCUACGGGAGGCAGCAGUGAGGAAUAUUGGACAAUGGGAGCAAUCCUGAUCCAGCCAUGCCGCGUGCAGGAAGACGGUCCUAUGGAUUGUAAACUGCUUUUAUACAGGAAGAAAAAGGAGUACGUGUACUCCAUUGACGGUACUGUAUGAAUAAGGAUCGGCUAACUCCGUGCCAGCAGCCGCGGUAAUACGGAGGAUCCGAGCGUUAUCCGGAAUUAUUGGGUUUAAAGGGUCCGUAGGCGGUUUGGUAAGUUGUGCGUGAAAGCCUCGUGCUCAACGCGAGGAAGCCGGACAAUACUGUCAAGCUAGAGGGCAUCAGAGGGGAGUGGAAUUCCCGGAGUAGCGGUAAAAUGCGCAGAUAUCGGGAGGAACACCGAUGGCGAAGGCAGCUCCCUGGGGUGUACCUGACGCUGAGGGGCGAAAGCUAGGGGAGCGAACAGGAUUAGAGACCCUGGUAGUCCCAGCUGUAAACGCUGGGUGCUAGGUGUGGGGCGUAGAAGCUCUGUGCCGCAGCAAACGCGAUAAGCAUCCCGCCUGGGAAUUACGGUCGCAAGGCUAAAACUCAAACGAAUUGACGGGGCCCCGCACAAGCAGCGGAGCGUGUGGUUCAAUUCGAUGCUACACGAAGAACCUUACCUGGGUUUGACAUGUACGUGGUAGAGAAGCGAAAGCGGAUUGACCCUUCGGGGAGCGUACACAGGUGCUGCAUGGCUGUCGUCAGCUCGUGCCGUGAGGUGUCGGGUUAAGUCCCGUAACGGGCGCAACCCUUGCCCUUAGUUACAAGUGUCUAGGGGGACUGCCGGCGGGAAGCCGGAGGAAGGUGGGGAUGACGUCAAGUCAGCAUGGCCCAUAUGUCCAGGGCUACACACACGCUACAAUGGUCGGUACAAAGGGUAGCGAAGCCGCGAGGCGGAGCGAAUCUCAUCAAAGCCGGUCGUAGUUCGGAUUGCAGGCUGCAACCCGCCUGCAUGAAGCUGGAGUUGCUAGUAACCGCGCGUCAGCCAUAGUGCGGUGAAUACGUACCCGGGGC